rnacentral:misc_RNA from 1 species
UUUCCGUAGGUGAACCAGCGGAGGGAUCAUUAUCGUAUAACCCAGGAACAAGGACUGUCACUGUCACGUCUGGCCGUGCAGUCCCGAGUGCCCUCACUCACAUCCAUCCCACCCCUCGGUCCACCCCCGCGCGGGUCCCCCUUUGGCCUGUUCGGAGGGGGUCCUACGCUUUCACACAAACUUUGUUUGCAAUGAAGAAAGGAUUAUUUGUUUUACCGAUGACCCAAUCAAUACAACUUUCAACAACAGAUCACUUGACCCUCGCAGCGAUCAAGAACC